GACGAACGCUGGCGGCGUGCUUAACACAUGCAAGUCGAACGGAAAGGCCCUGCUUUUGUGGGGUGCUCGAGUGGCGAACGGGUGAGUAACACGUGAGUAACCUGCCCUUGACUUUGGGAUAACUUCAGGAAACUGGGGCUAAUACCGGAUAGGAGCUCCUGCUGCAUGGUGGGGUUUGGAAAGUUUCGGCGGUUGGGGAUGGACUCGCGGCUUAUCAGCUGUUGGGGGGGUAGUGGCUUACCAAGGCUUUGACGGGUAGCCGGCCUGAGAGGGUGACCGGCCACAUUGGGACUGAGAUACGGCCCAGACUCCUACGGGAGGCAGCAGUGGGGAAUAUUGCACAAUGGGCGGAAGCCUGAUGCAGCAACGCCGCGUGCGGGAUGACGGCCUUCGGGUUGUAAACCGCUUUCGCCUGUGACGAAGCGUGAGUGACGGUAAUGGGUAAAGAAGCACCGGCUAACUACGUG
rnacentral:rRNA from 1 species